rnacentral:rRNA from 1 species
GUACACUCCUACGGGAGGCAGCAGUGGGGAGUUUUGGACAAUGGGCGAAAGCCUGAUCCAGCAAUGCCGCGUGAGUGAAGAAGGCCUUCGGGUUGUAAAGCUCUUUUGUCAGGGAAGAAACGGUGAGAGCUAAUAUCUCUUGCUAAUGACGGUACCUGAAGAAUAAGCACCGGCUAACUACGUGCCAGCAGCCGCGGUAAUACGUAGGGUGCAAGCGUUAAUCGGAAUUACUGGGCGUAAAGCGUGCGCAGGCGGUUUUGUAAGUCUGAUGUGAAAUCCCCGGGCUCAACCUGGGAAUUGCAUUGGAGACUGCAAGGCUAGAAUCUGGCAGAGGGGGGUAGAAUUCCACGUGUAGCAGUGAAAUGCGUAGAUAUGUGGAGGAACACCGAUGGCGAAGGCAGCCCCCUGGGUCAAGAUUGACGCUCAUGCACGAAAGCGUGGGGAGCAAACAGGAUUAGAAACCCCGGUAGUCCCA